UUUGAAUGAAUUGCUUAUUGUUGAAUUGGAAACUGCAGACUCACAAUGAUUUUUUAAAGAAAAUGACUUGCGGGAGGAUUGAAGCUGGUCAAUAAGAUGUGGAUGAAGGGCGGCGAUAAUUAUUCGUUGCUGCCUUGAUGGUGGUGGUCUUAAGAAGCUGUAGAUCAAACAGCCAUAUAUAGGGUACUGUGAAUUCAAGAGGAG
rnacentral:lncRNA from 1 species